ensembl:lncRNA
CGCUUUACAUAUAAAUGGUUCUGCUAUUCGGCAUGAACGGGUAGAGUAAACACUCGCUCACAGGUCUUUGGCAGCAGAACGAGGACUCUGGUGUUCAAGGACAUCCCCAAAUGCUCUUUAGACUCCUGCGCAGAUGAGAAAAGGCGAAAAUAAAAGAGGAAUGCAAGUCAAGUCUUUUGAGUUUGUACGAGAAUGUGAGAGCUACUUUUGUUUCUAAGACCAUCCAAAUAUUUUCUCCAGAGAAGGUGGGAGUCACUUUGAGAGGAGCCCCCCCCCCACCAACACAACACUGUUGGCUUAACACCGCCUGGAAUAGCUCCACCAAUUUAAACCUGUGUUUUUUUUGGCGUUUUUUUUGUGUCAGUAAAUCCAACAUGGCACGAAGCUUAAGAGAAAAUCAACGGCGCCUUGACGGGAAGGAGAAAUGGAACAGCUGUGCGGGCCUCCAAACAAGGAGCAGGCUGCCUGGCAACUGCGCUCCCAUUGGCCAACCUUCCACCUCCUCCGACCAAUUGCAGCAGCUCCACCACGAGGAAGCGAAUGGGGGAGAAAAACAAAGCAGAGGGGGAAACAGAAGGAAGAAAAUGUGAGAAAGUUUGCAGUAAGAAACAUGUUGAGGAUGUAGACUUUGGCUCGUGCUCCCAACAGGGAGUGAUGUGAUUUGAAAAGGCCGACUAGGCGUACGGAAGCACUUUAACCUCUUUUCAGAAAGAUCUGCAAAACUUUUAAUGUUUCCCGUCUUUCGGGAAAUUCCUGGAUUCUGCCAAAAAUUUGCUUUACCCCUUUUUAACUAAACGGAUUAUGGGGGGAACAAUCCCUACUUCACAUUACACCCACAGCCAUUGCUGCAACAACCAUUUUUGUUUGGUAUCAAAGUCACCAAUGUGUUCCGGUGCUCACCGGGGGACCUGAGUCACAUCUCCCCGGGAUGAAAGGUGUUUGUUUUACAGUAGCUGUGACGCAUGCCGUUGCUGGUAGACUUGAGGUUCGGCAGACGAGGGGCAAGAGGGGUAAAUACAAACAAGAAGUGAGUCAAUGGGGGGGGGGCAGCACGUAGCUCGUGUUUAUGGUGCGAGUGGGUGGGCAUCCGUGUUCAGAUACGCCCUGUAAUUACAGUCGGAGAACGUUGUGAGACGCAGGGCGCUUCUCUCCCCCGGAGGCCUCGGCAACAAAAAACCUGCAGAGCGACGAAGGCCCCGUCAACCUGCCCCGGUACAUGUGCAGACAAACAGCACAAAUGAGUCCUUGUGGCAUUGUAUUCGGGUCCUGAAGAGGUUUGCUGCUUGACAACAACUUGGUCAAUCAAAACGGCCCAAAUAUUACCGCUUCCUUUUGGCAAAAUGUCAUCAAACUCAAGCUCUUCAGAACGUGGGCGUUUGGACAAAGGGCGUAAAUGGGAAAAUUGGGAAAGCUGUUGGUUUACAUGGAUCCUCUGAUCCUCUUUUUUAUUUCAUAGUAUUGAUGUAAACCUUUUAGUUUUGCAAUACCGUAAUGUGGUGCAUAUUUAGGGAAUUGUGAUUAGUCGGACCAUUGAAAGUUCUGGCAAUUUUAUUGACAUCAGCACUGUGAGCAGCAGAUAUGCCCGGACAUGAAAAAUGUUUUACUUUUGAACACAGGUAUGGUCUUUUUUACUAGAGCUUUAUAGCUUGCCCGGGGAAAGACUUUUUUCCCCAUUGAAGUAAAGACAAAUUAAUCCAACUUGUCGAUUUGCAGCCUAAUGAAAGCUCAGGCCUGCGGGGCUACAACUGAAAACCAUCCAAUUCCUCUCCUGCUUAUAAUAAAUAAAGCAAUGUGGGCCUCUGUGGGACUUAACUGUCUCUUAAUUCA